rnacentral:rRNA from 1 species
GACGAACGCUGGCGGCGUGCCUAAUACAUGCAAGUCGAGCGCAGGAAACUGACGGAACUCUUCGGAGGGAAGGCAGCGGAAUGAGCGGCGGACGGGUGAGUAACACGUAAGGAACCUGCCUCAAGGAUUGGGAUAACUCCGAGAAAUCGGAGCUAAUACCGGAUAGUUCAUCGGACCGCAUGGUCCGUUGAUGAAAGGCGCUUCGGCGUCACCUUGAGAUGGCCUUGCGGUGCAUUAGCUAGUUGGUGGGGUAACGGCCCACCAAGGCGACGAUGCAUAGCCGACCGGAGAGGGUGAUCGGCCACACUGGGACUGAGACACGGCCCAGACUCCUACGGGAGGCAGCAGUAGGGAAUCUUCCACAAUGGACGAAAGUCUGAUGGAGCAACGCCGCGUGAGUGAUGAAGGUUUUCGGAUCGUAAAACUCUGUUGUAAGGGAAGAACACGUACGAGAGGAAAUGCUCGUACCUUGACGGUACCUUACGAGAAAGCCACGGCUAACUACGUGCCAGCCGCCGCAGUAAAAC